UUUCAUGGGUCAGGGAACCCCUGGAGGCAUGGGGAACUGGGGGCACCCGGUGAUCGGAAGCAUGAUGGUGACAAGAAGGACAAAAAGUUUGAGUCGGCGGCGUCGCCAUCCCGAGUCAGAUGGAAGCUACGCAGAUAGAAGGGUUCUGAGGUUGUUGCCCGGCUCCCCACCGUCACCUCGUUCUCUAAGUGCCGUCUCCACAUCCUCAAGGUCGAGCGCAUCAAAGACUACCUCCUCAUGGAGGAGUUCGCCGCCAACUAGGAGCGCCUCUGUCCCUAGGAGGAGAAGAACGAGGAGGAUCGUUCCAAGUUCGAUGAUCCCCGAGAGUCGCCGAUAAGCGUCAGAAACCUGGACGAGCUCAUCGACGAGAACCAUGUCAUCGUUUCGUCGUCGGUCAGAACGAAGUACUACGUUACGAUCCUAUCUUUUGUCGACAAGUAUCAAUUGGAACUGGACUAUGCCAUUUUUAUGCACAACAAGCCAGGUUUUGAUAGUCGCAACUGCUUGAUAGUCGCAACUGCUAUGUUGAUGAACACUAUCUUCCAACUCUUUUGAGUAUGGUGGAUCCUAUCGGAAGUGCCAAUUGGUCCGUGAUGCAUGUUGAUUGGUCUGAAGGAAAGUGGCAUCCAAAAGCAUAUUGAGCACAAGAUGUCACUUUUGAGCUCCCAAAGAAUAUUUCAGUAAGCAUUCUCUCUUUCAAAAAUUCAUACUUUAGAAUGUCCAGAUGCCUCUAAAUUCUUGUUGGCU